rnacentral:rRNA from 1 species
AUGAACGCUGGCUACAGGCUUAACACAUGCAAGUCGAGGGGAAACGACGGGGAAGCUUGCUUCCCCGGGCGUCGACCGGCGCACGGGUGAGUAACGCGUAUCCAACCUGCCUCUGACUGAGGGAUAACCCGUCGAAAGUCGGCCUAAUACCUCAUGGUAUCGUCUGCGGGCAUCCAACGACGAUUAAAGAUUUCAUCGGUCAGGGAUGGGGAUGCGUCUGAUUAGCUUGUUGGCGGGGUAACGGCCCACCAAGGCUACGAUCAGUAGGGGUUCUGAGAGGAAGGUCCCCCACAUUGGAACUGAGACACGGUCCAAACUCCUACGGGAGGCAGCAGUGAGGAAUAUUGGUCAAUGGGCGAGAGCCUGAACCAGCCAAGUGGCGUGCAGGAAGACGGCCCUAUGGGUUGUAAACUGCUUUUAUGCGGGGAUAAAGUGAGGGACGUGUCCCUCAUUGCAGGUACCGCAUGAAUAAGGACCGGCUAAUUCCGUG